CCUACGGGAGGCAGCAGUGAGGAAUAUUGGUCAAUGGGCGGAAGCCUGAACCAGCCAAGUCGCGUGAGGGAUGAAGGCCCUAUGGGUUGUAAACCUCUUUUGUCAGGGAGCAAGGCCGUCCACGUGUGGCCGGAUGGAGAGUACCUGAAGAAAAAGCAUCGGCUAACUCCGUGCCAGCAGCCGCGGUAAUACGGAGGAUGCGAGCGUUAUCCGGAUGUAUUGGGUUUAAGGGGGGCGUAGGCGGGGCUUUAAGUCAGCGGUAAAAUUGCGGUGCUCAACGCCGUAGAGCCGUUGAAACUGGGGAUCUUGAGUUGGCGAGAAGUAUGCGGAAUGCGUGGUGUAGCGGUGAAAUGCAUAGAUAUCACGCAGAACCCCGAUUGCGAAUGCAGCAUACCGGCGCUCAACUGACGCUGAGGCACGAAAGUGCGGGUAUCGAACAGGAUUAGAUACCCCUGUAGUC
rnacentral:rRNA from 1 species